CUGAAAAGAUUCAUCUCAAGUUUUGUUUAGAUUUUAUCAAGAUACAGCUAGAAGAACCAGAAAAUGAUCCUGUAGGGAUUACUUUAAAUACCUCUGAUCUAACAAAAUGUGAAUGGUGUAAUGUCCGAAAAUUACCAGUAGUGUUUCUUCAGACUACACCGGCAGUUUAUCAGAAGCUGAGCAUGCAACUGCAGAUGAACAUGGAGGAUAAAGUUUGGAAUGACUGUAAAGUAGUAAAUAAGUUAACAAUUUUGGAAGAACAAUACAUAAUUCUAAUUUUUCAAAAUGGCCUUGAUCCUCAGGCAAAUAUGCUAUUUUAAAAUAUUAUUACUGACAUUGGUAUAAAGAAUAAUGUGUCAAAUUUUUUUGCGAAAAUUCCCUUUGAUGAAGCCAAUAGCAGACUUGUUGCCUGUACAAGAACCUAUGAAGAGAGCAUCAAAGGAAGUUGUGUGCAAAAAGAAAACAAAAUUAAAAAUGUGGCCCUUGAAUCUAAAAUACAACUUAAAAACAAACAAGAAUUCCAAUUUUUUGAUGAUGAGGAAGAAACUGGAGAGAGCCAUACCAUCUUCAUGGGUCCUGUAGAAAAAUUGAUAGUAUAUCCACCACCUCCAGCUAAGGGAGGCAUCUCCGUUACUAAUGAGGACCUGCAUUGUCUAAGUGAAGGAGAAUUUUUAAAUGAUGUUAUUAUAGACUUUUAUUUGAAGUAUUUGGUGCUUGAAAAAUUGAAGAAAGAAGAAGCUGACCGAAUUCAUAUAUUCAGUUCUUUUUUCUAUAAACGCCUUAAUCAAAGGGAGAGGAGAAAUCUUCAUGAAACAACUAAUCUAUCAAUACAGCAGAAGCGACAUGGAAGAGUAAAAACAUGGACCCGGCAUGUAGAUAUUUUUGAGAAGGAUUUUAUUUUUGUACCCCUUAAUGAAGCCCAGUGAAAUGGACAGUUGUUCACAAAACUCUGCUGCCAAGCCUGUAAUUAAGAAGAUGCUAAACAGAAAGCAUUGCAUAGCUGUAAUUGAUUCAAAUAAUGAACAGGAAGAAAGUGACCCUCGUUAUCGGAGAAACAUAAGCAGUGUGAAAUGUAGUCUGAAAAAAAUAAAUCAUACUGCAAGUGAAAAUGAAGAAUCGAAUAAAGGAGAACCUGCAUGCCAGCAAUAUGUUGAUAGGACUGAAAGUGAGGAUGGCCUACAGAAUGAAUAUUUAAGUUCUAUGCACCAUACAGAUGGUUUAAGCAAAAUAAGACUAAACUACAGUGAUGAAUCAGCUGAAGGUAGUAAAAUGCUUGAAGAUGAACUCAUCGACUUCUCAGAAGAUCAGGAUAACCAGGAUGAUAGCAGCGAUGAUGGACUCCUUGCUGAUGACAACUGCAGUUCAGAAAUAGGACAGUGGCAUUUAAAGCUUACUAUCUGUAAACAACCUUGUAUCCUACUGAUGGACUCACUCAGAGGCCCUUCUCGGUCAAAUGUUGUCAAAAUUCUAAGAGAGUAUUUAGAGGUGGAAUGGGAAGUUAAAAAAGGAAGCAAAAGAAGUUUUUCCAAAGAUGUUAUGAAAGGCUCUAAUCCAAAAGUACCGCAACAAAACAACUUCAGUGACUGUGGCGUAUAUGUAUUGCAGUAUGUAGAGAGCUUUUUUGAGAAUCCAAUUCUCAAUUUUGAAUUACCGAUGAAUCUGGCAAACUGGUUUCCUCCCCCAAGAAUGAGAACAAAAAGAGAAGAAAUCCGAAACAUAAUUCUGAAGCUACAGGAAGAUCAGAGCAAAGAGAAGAAGCAUAAGGACACUUACUCAACAGAAACGUCUUUAGGUGAAGGAGCAGAGCAGUGCGUCAACAGCAUCUCAGAUUGACCGUUUCCGAUGCUAGUCAGUAUUGCCUUCAGGAACUGAGUGACUGUCAACUUUGGGUAUAGACAGUAAAGAACUGAAGUGCUCACUACUCAGAGUGAUUUGGAAAUGUUAAUGAUUGUAUAAAUGUCAUAUAAUUAAUUUCCAAUGGAGUAUGUAUUAAGUAAAAGUCUGUAAAUAUGUUAAUAAGGCCAA